CGAGCGUCAUUACAACCCUCAAGCCUAGCUUGGUAUUGGGCUUCGCCGUUCACACGGCGGGCCUUAAAAUUAGUGGCAGUGCUAUAGUGGCCCUGAGCGUAGUAAAUAUCCUCGCUAUAGGGACAUGGUAGAUACCGGCCAGCAACCCCCAACUUUCUAAGUUUGACCUCGGAUCAGGUAGGGAUACCCGCUGAACUUAA
rnacentral:misc_RNA from 1 species